ACGAACGCUGGCGGCAUGCCUAACACAUGCAAGUCGAACGAGACCUUCGGGUCUAGUGGCGCACGGGUGCGUAACGCGUAGGAACCUGCCCUUAGGUUCGGAAUAACUCCCCGAAAGGGGUGCUAAUACCGGAUAAUGUCUUCGGACCAAAGAUUUAUCGCCUUUGGAUGGGCCCGCGUUGGAUUAGCUAGUUGGUAGGGUAAAAGCCUACCAAGGCGACGAUCCAUAGCUGGUCUGAGAGGAUGAUCAGCCACACUGGGACUGAGACACGGCCCAGACUCCUACGGGAGGCAGCAGUGGGGAAUAUUGGACAAUGGGCGAAAGCCUGAUCCAGCAAUGCCGCGUGAGUGAUGAAGGCCUUAGGGUUGUAAAGCUCUUUUACCCGGGAUGAUAAUGACAGUACCGGGAGAAUAAGCUCCGGCUAACUCCGUG
rnacentral:rRNA from 1 species